rnacentral:rRNA from 1 species
UACGGAGGAUGCGAGCGUUAUCCGGAUUUAUUGGGUCUAAAGGGUGCGUAGGCGGGCUUUUAAGUCAGCGGUAAAAAUUCGGGGCUCAACCCCGUCCGGCCGUUGAAACUGGGGGCCUUGAGUGGGCGAGAAGAAGGCGGAAUGCGUGGUGUAGCGGUGAAAUGCAUAGAUAUCACGCAGAACCCCGAUUGCGAAGGCAGCCUUCCGGCGCCCUACUGACGCUGAGGCACGAAAGUGCGGGGAUCGAACAGG